ACAAGCUAAAAGAUACAAAGGGAAAAGUGUGACUGCUCUGACAGCAAAAACAAGCAACUAUCUCCAGAGGGGAUUAAUCCCUCUGCUUCAAAGUAACCAAAACAAAGAAAGCUGAGCCAGCUUCACGGGGAAACAACACCUGUCCAUCAGACAAGGAUGAGCUCAU
rfam:Tupaia belangeri cont1.263280, whole genome shotgun sequence.